GACUGCCAGCAUGAGUCGAUUGGCCAAUCCUGAGGUGUUCAAUCGGCUAGUGGAAAUCGUGUGCUGCUUCCAAGAGGCGCGACCACUUUUCCAGGAGUUGACCAUUGACGGCCGCUGUGAGCGAUGGCGGUUUCCUAGGUCCGACAUCGCUUUGGGUCCAGAGUUGUGCCAUGCAAAUGAGGCCGCAAAACAAGAUCCCAUCAUUUGGCGCCGCCUCAUUUUCCCGCUGUGGCCGGACGAGACCGUGACCGGGGCGUGUUACGCGUGACCACAGAACACUCUAGACCCUCAGGAGCGUCUGCUGUCAACCUCAUCUGUUUUUUAGGCACUAAUAAGCACUUAGCAACAGUUGGAACAUCAUAAAUUCAUUUAUUCAGCUGCCCUAGCAUAAAAACCAUUGCGCAAAAUGAAGAAGUGUAAAACAUUAA